UGGAGAGAAGAUUCCAUGACGGCAAUCAGUGUGCCGCAGGCCAGGCUACCUCCUUCAUCUUCGUGGUCAAGUGGGCUCUUUAUAACAAAACCUGGAAUCCAUGGCUGCUGGUCAUCCCGGAGGGCCUUUUGUGUUUGCAACUUCAAGCAUGUUUUGGCUCCGAACCUAAACUUUCUGGAUUUUCUGAGAAGUUCAGAUAUAAAUUAGAGUAUUGUUUGGAUCUCUUUAAUCCCACCCAGCACGCAAAUAUCCGUGAUAUGUGUAACCAAGGGCGCUCUUACUAAACUUCAGUAAACAGAAAAGGACAGAAGAUUCCUAGACAUUGGACACCUGCCUCAGUGUUUCUGCUGCAGUGACAGAUCCCAAAUUUCUAUAUGGACUGAACCACCAAAGCAAGGACCUGAAUCCAGUACCACAUUGUAUUUAGUCAUCAUGUCUCCUGAUGGUUCUCGUAUGGACAUGAAUUUUCAACUCUGGGUAAAUACCAAGAAGCAUGACUGCUGGAGCAUAUGGAAAGAGUAUGUUUAGUUUUGUAAGAAACCAACAAACUGUCUUCCAAAGUGGCUGUACCAUUUUGCAUUCUUACCAGCAAUGAAGGAUACUUUCUGUUUCUCCACAUCUCUGCCAGCAUUUGGUGUAGCCAGUGUUUUAGCUUUUAUUCUUUCUAAUAGGUGUUAGUAGUAUCUCAUUGCUGUUUUAAUUUGCAUUUCCCUGAUGACAUAUGGUGCGGAGCAUCUUCAUAAGCUUAUUUGCCAUCUGUAUAGCUUCUUUGGUGAAGUGUCGCUUCUUUUAGGGGACUGAAAUUACAUGAUUUUGUUCACAAGUCAGAAAGGCAAUUUUUUCUCUUUAGUCUUCAAAUUAGAGAAUUUAGAUCUAUCUUCAAAGUCACUC